rnacentral:rRNA from 3 species
UACGUAGGUGGCAAGCGUUGUCCGGAAUUAUUGGGCGUAAAGCGCGCGCAGGCGGUCCUUUAAGUCUGAUGUGAAAGCCCACGGCUCAACCGUGGAGGGUCAUUGGAAACUGGGGGACUUGAGUGCAGAAGAGGAAAGUGGAAUUCCACGUGUAGCGGUGAAAUGCGUAGAGAUGUGGAGGAACACCAGUGGCGAAGGCGACUUUCUGGUCUGUAACUGACGCUGAGGCGCGAAAGCGUGGGGAGCAAACAGG